UGGAAGAAUGCUGUGGUAGUGAUCCUGUGCUGGAGCUGAAAUGGGAGGAUUCUUUGGAUAACUCAGACUCACAAGGAUCAGAAAGGUUAAUUCUCUCUCAUUAUAAUGAGGUAAAUCAGUCAACCAAGGAGGCAGCUGAGAGCCAGAGCCAUCGCAAGGGAAGCGGUGUGGGCAAGCAUGGAACAAUGUGCUGAGCAGGACAGUUGUGCAGCAGCACAGACAGGAGAGCAUCCGUUUUCAUCCACCUCUGAGCCUCUUCUUCACUCAGCUUCUCUUCUCAGCUGCUCUCCAGUCAGCCCAGAGGGAGCCUUUGAUGGCUAGCUGCUCAUCACUGCAAGUUUACUGCCCACGUGUCUUUCAUCAGUGCCAAUGUCAGAUGAGGUAGAUUUGCUUCAUGAAUAAUGCUCGACGCCGGCCUUGGCGAGCCCGCUCUGCUACCUGGAUCAUUUUAAUGGCUUCUUCAAAUGUCAUGGCCUUGACAGGUUUCUU